rnacentral:rRNA from 1 species
CUGCCAGACUCCUACGGGAGGCAGCAGUGGGGAAUAUUGCACAAUGGGGGGAACCCUGAUGCAGUGACGCCGCGUGGGUGAAGGAGCCCCUCGGUGCGUAAAGCCCUAUCGGCAGGGAAGAAACAGACGGUACCUGACUAAGAAGCCCCGGCUAACUACGCGCCAGCAGCCGCGGUAAUACGUAGGGGGCAAGCGUUAUCCGGAUUUACUGGGUGUAAAGGGAGCGUAGACGGCAUGGCAAGUCAGAUGUGAAAGCCCGGGGCUCAACCCCGGGACUGCAUUUGAAACUGUCAGGCUGGAGUGCAGGAGAGGUAAGUGGAAUUCCUAGUGUAGCGGUGAAAUGCGUAGAUAUUAGGAGGAACACCAGUGGCGAAGGCGGCUUACUGGACUGUAACUGACGUUGAGGCUCGAAAGCGUGGGGAGCAAACAGGAUUAGAUACCCCCGUACG